UUCGACGAGGCUGCCAGCUACAGUUUUAAAGGGGAAACGAUUCGCCACAUCCAGACAUGGGAGCGAACGUUACAACUUGAAGACAGACAAGACACACUGUUGCGGAUAUAAGGAAAAAUAGCGAACAUAGCCUACUUUUAUUGUCACCGACCAAUACUUCUUGGAACUAUCUACCAGCUGAAUAAUACAGAAUCAAAUAAAGAAUUCCAACCACGGGUAGUUGGAGUCAAAGGGCCCCCAUACUAUUCAAUGAGGAUGAGGAAGUGAUUUGCUGUUUGGGGUAAGUUUCUCAAAAACAAGUGAAAUUACAAAAAAGGUAUCAAGAUCCUUCCUUAACAUGCCAUUUACAUAAAAAAUAAAGGAUGUGGUU
rnacentral:lncRNA from 1 species